rnacentral:misc_RNA from 1 species
AUCGAAUUUCACUUUACUUCCAGGGAAAAUGAGUAAUUAUAGUUAUUUCAUCUCGUUACGAGUUUUCAGAUUCUCCUUUGGGUACACAUGAAUCUCUACUAAAUUUAAUAUCGCGAAACUUCAAUUCGAUCAUUACUUCGUAAUCGCGAUGCCGGCCGUCAUUCUCCAGCGCUGCGUGCGAAUUUCGCAAUGCCUACAACAGUCGGUUAUCCCACAGUCUGUGAACCUCGCUGAACACAGAACGAUCUCAGUCCCGCACUCUGCGGAUUUGGAUAAAAAAAAUAUUAAUAUUGGAAUAAAAGCAGUGCAAAGUUAUUAAAGUAAAAACUUAAUUCUUUAAACGUUAAUGAAUUACACACCUUGCUCAUUCUUUAAAAUAAUUAUUAAAGUAUUUUAUGAUCUCGGUAAAUUUGAAUACGAUAUCGUAUAAUCGGAUUUGUUGUAGUAUUAUAUUGAAUUAGAUAGUGAAGGCGUCUCAAGUGAACCCGCCUCAAAAUCCAACUGUGCAAGAUACCGUUUUUUCCCUUCCCUUCCAAAAUUAUUACUGCACGUAUCGUAGAAACAUGUCCGUUUUCUAUUUUUCAUCGCGUAGAUUAGGUCCAUAAAUUUGAAUACUUACGGAAUAUGUGAUAGGUAUUAGAAAACAUAACGAAACAUUUUUAGGCUUACCAUGCACCAUCGCGAAUAAUCCACAGAUCAUCUAUGGAUACAAAACUAUCGUGCUACAUAAUACAAUACAAGAAUGUCUAAGUAAUUGCGAAUACUGUGUAUAUAAUGUUCUAAACUACGAAGAGAGUUUUCACGCCUUCGGGAAUAAUUUUGCUGCAUCGAUGUUUCGCAAGUAGCGUCUAUAAUAGCAACCGCAGCUGGGUGUAAAAGUUGAUCUUUGAAAGAAAAUAUAACUGCAGCUUGAGAAACAGCACGUAAAAUGUCGAUAAUAACUAUAAGUUAUAUGCAUUACUCGGAUACAAAUGUUUAAAUAUGUUAUAAAUGGCUACAUAUCUUAGAAUGCACGUGAGCGAUUUUUAAUGAAAUGUUAAGAUUCGGUAUUAUGCAUCAGUCUCAAUUUGUAACGGCGCGUACAGCUUUUAACUUUCAUCGAACCGAUCGAAUCUAAAAAACCAAAAAAACAAUUUAAUGAAAUCGAUUCCAAUUAUAUUUUUGAGUUGUGCAAUGUCUAGUGCAGAAGCUGACAGUCCUGAUAUACAGAGGUACUAAUAUACGUACAACGUGCACUAUAGUUAUGCAGGUUACGUAAAUACGCCGAUGCCUGUGUCCCGCAUUCGACAGAAAUUUCCCAUUGAUAGGCGCACGUGAGCGGCUGGCACGUGGCUGCGCUGAACUUGGUCGAGGCUCGCGAGUCGCUGCCUCGUUCAGACAAUGUACGCUUGGUAUAUCCGUCGAGAUAUAAGCUGGCUACGGAAACAAGGUGCAACGUUAAACGUCGAUAGAAACUGUACUUCAAUUCGUACUAGAGCGUGAACGCAGAUUUUUAACAGUAAAUCGUCUUUAUAAUUUUUCAGCCCACUUCGUUGUACGUUUGCAUCCCAAUAUAGGUAUAGGUCGUUAUUAUUACGUAUUCGAUGAUCAUACAACGUGAGAGCAGCUUAUACGACUUGACAUUAAAUGUUUAGCGAAUUAGCGUCGUUAAUUGAUCAUGUACCACGCUUAAGGGUAAAACGAGAAUUUUCCUCAUCCUACUAACAUCCGUUUUAGUUGUAAUAAAGAUCACUCUGCAGCUGCGUUGCAAUCUGAUUGAUAUAUCGCGAUUGUAUUGUGAUCUGGGCUACAUGUAAGUGAAACUAGAAAGCGAAAUAUAUUCGAAGAAACUGACAUGAAUCUACACAUACUGAAUAAUGUGAAAUAUUUUUAUAUCCAACAUAACACAACGCUAAGCAACCGUCUGAUCGAUGAAUUGAUGUCAGCAGCUUCGGACUUGUGAAAUAAAAAGCUACAAUGAAGAUGAACUACAACGGCAGCAAAUUUAGCUGGGCGACGCUUCCAGCUGAAGCGCUGGCUCGAAUCUUCGGCAAUUUAUCUUAUGACGAAUUAAUAUCGGCUUCGUUGGUCUGCAAACACUGGGAGAUGGUUGUGCACAGUCCGUCGCUCUGGCGAACGGUUGAAUUCAACUUGAGCCAAGCAGACAACUCCACCAACCCCCACCUGAUUGAUUACAUACUACGGCGUCACGGUAACCACAUCCGCGACGUUUCUCUCAAAACGGACAACUCUGUCGAGUCUGCGGAGGCUGCCUGCAUCGUUCUUUCUCGCCUGGUCAACUCUUCCUUGAAGACACUAACGCUGAUGAGUGCUGCGAAGCCAGCAUUCAUGGACAUCGAGGAGAAGAAAUUUACGUCAGCUCUAAUUAUUGCCCUUGAUCAUUCGCCGCUUAGGUCACUAGAUAUCGAUCACACGCCCGUGGAUGAUCCAUCUUUAGCCACCCUAGCAUUGAGUACAUCUGGAACGCUGCAACUUCUACGGAUCAAGAGUUGCCCUCGAUUGUCGCCAAGAGGUAUUCUAGCACUCGCUGAGCAUUGCCAAUGUCUCCGUGAACUCUCGCUAUCUUAUUCUCUCCUAAGCGAUGAACUUCUGGUGGCUCUCAGCGUGGAGAAACACGUUCGUCUAGAGACGCUCAGGGUCGAAGCGUAUCCUGAAUCAAAACCACUACCACGUCUAAGUGACAGAGCGUGGCUUGCCUUGGCAACUCACUCGCCAAACAUCAACUUUGUAUUAUUAUCCUACAUCACGGACGAAGACGAUUUCGCACCACUUCUUGCCUCCUAUGUACCCGUUACUCACCUCUACUUCGGCGAAGAUGCACCUGCAGCGGUCGUUGCUAGGAUUGGAAAGUUUUGUCCCCGGCUUGUGGAGCUCGUCAUCAGUAGACACAGUCCUGGACCAAUUGAUCAAGCUUUGAUAUCCGCUGCUAGAGGAUGCCCCCAACUCGCCGCCGUCGGCCUUGGUGACUGUGAACUCACAUGCUCUGGAUUCGUCGAUUUUGUAGUUCUGUGCGCAGAGCGUCUUCGGGAAUUGUACGUAUACGAAACGUCGCUGCUGGAAGACUCUAAGUACGACGUUGCAAGUGCAGCCGGCAGAGUAUCGUCUUUGCUAGGACGAAGUUGGGCACCCGAAUACAUUCCGAUGUGGUAAAACAUAUCAUCGGCUCGGAUGGUGGCUGAUCCGCGUCACUCCUUGGUUGAUACGAGAUAUUACCAUACUCUUGAAGCAGUGGGCACAACCCUAAGAGGAAGUGAUAGAAAUCUUUUCUAAUGCCAAACCACCCUUAAAAAGACAAAGCAAAAAGGGCUCACCUGAAAUACUAAAAUGGGAACUACUAGAAAAGUGUAUCCCAAUGCAGAAUUUAAUGACGUCCGCCUUUGCCGCGCAUUUAUUUGUGGAGUUCUAAGUAA